GACAUUGUCCCUUUAAUGAAAUGGCUCAGUCUCUGGCUCAGCACUGGCCAAGUGCCCAACUAUCUUCAUUUAAACUUUGGCCAACUAAACAGCAGCAAUAACAGAUAAUUUACAAGUGGAUAGGCUAUUUAUUUGUACAUUGCUUUAUUUGGGUUAACCAAUUAUAUUUUCCAGUAUGACCUACAAGACAUAUUUUCUACACUGAAAACUUUUUAAAUUCACAAUCUACUUUCUGGAUGCCUUCAAAGGAAAAAAAAGUUCUCUAUUUGGGAUGAAAGUCACUAUGAGGAAAAAAUGUUUUUUCUUUUGCUUUAUACUUCUGGCUGUGGUAACAAAACAGAUAGUACAUGGGCAAAACAGAAAAAGAGGAAAGAAUAUUUACUCUCCUAUGCCAACAGAUGAAGGUGAUAUGUGUCUCAUUGAUAUAGUCUUUAUCAUAGACAGUUCAGAAAGUGCCAAAAAUCAAUUGUUUGAUAUACAGAAGGAUUUUGUUCAAAACAUGACUGACAACAUUUUCCAGAUGAAGCCAGUUAAGUCCCACAUGUAUAGUGUCAAACUAGCAAGUAUGCAGUUCAGCAGCACAGUCAUCAUUGAUCAUCCCUUUACAGCCUGGAAAAAUAUCCAGAAUUUUAAGGAGAAAAUAAAUUCUCUGGGCUUUAUUGGCCAAGGCACUUACUCCUAUUAUGCAGUUUCAAAUGCCACUCAUCUGUUCAAAACUGAAAGUCGUAAGAGAAGUGUGAAAGUGGCUUUUUUGAUGACUGAUGGUGUGGAUCAUCCAAACAGCCCUAAUGUCCAGGGUAUAGCCACAACAGCUAGAAGUCUUGGGAUACAUUUUGUUACCAUUGGCCUUUCUAAGAAAGCAGUCCAAGAAGACAAAUUGCGCAUGAUAUCUGGUGAUUCGUCCUCUAAACGUGUCCUGUGCCUGGAUGAUCAGAAUCUGGUAGCUGAUGUAACAUCGGAACUGGAAGCCUUGCUACAGAAGCAGUGUGUGCGGAAGACCUGUGAGUGUGAAAAGGGAGUAAAAGGAGACAAAGGCAGUGAUGGCAGCAAAGGGGAUAAAGGUGACCCAGGACCAAAAGGAAACAAGGGUGAUGCUCAGAAAGGAGAUCGUGGAGAGAAAGGGGAAGAGGGAACUGCUGGCUACAAGGGAGACAAGGGUGAAAGAGGAGAAUGUGGAGCUCCAGGACCAAAAGGAGAAAUAGGUUUGCAGGGCUCUGUGGGCCCUACAGGACCUCGGGGACCUCAGGGUAUCAGGGGAGAUCCAGGAGAGCAAGGCCUGAAAGGCAUUCAAGGAAACAAGGGAGAACAAGGCCCUCCAGGUCCCUAUGGUCCUGCAGGACUCCCUGGCAUUGGAGAUCCAGGACCCAAGGGUGCUGAAGGUCGAGAAGGUAGAAUUGGAUUGCGAGGACCUCCUGGAAUUGGUGAGCCAGGAUUACCUGGACCACCUGGCCCUCCUGGUUCUCCAGGUGAAAAAGGUUCGACAGGACGCGGCAUUCAAGGAGACAAGGGUGAAAAAGGCUCUCCCGGUGUCCGUGGUCCUUCUGGACCAAAAGGUGAACAAGUCAAAGGUGACAAGGGUGACCAAGGCCAGGUAGGACCACAGGGCCCACCAGGACCACCAGGAGCCGGCCUUCAAGGAAGCCAGGGUGUACAGGGUCCCCCAGGAGUCCCUGGGCCAAAAGGCUCUGAAGGUUAUGGUUGGCCAGGACCAAAGGGUGAACAAGGUGAACGUGGACAAAAAGGAGAACCAGGACCUGCAGGAAAUAGCACAUCAGGGCUUAAAGGAGAUGCAGGUCUACCGGGAACCCCAGGAGAGAAGGGGGUGAAGGGAGAGAAAGGAUCAAUAGGGAACAAGGGGGAAAAGGGAGAUGAAGGUCCAAGAGGCCCAGAAGGACGCCCUGGCAAAGGACUUCUGGGUCAAAAGGGUGACCCUGGAGAAAAAGGAUCCAAAGGAAUGAUUGGUCCUAAAGGACUACAAGGCCAAGCUGGACCAAAAGGUGAUCGUGGAGAGACAGGACCCCCUGGUGCACGUGGAGCAUCUGUUUGGGGACCUCCUGGACCAAAGGGGGAACAAGGAUACAAGGGACUACCGGGAGAUCCUGGAAUUCCUGGAAAUUCAAUAAUGGGACCAAUGGGGAAGCAAGGACCACCUGGACCACCUGGACCCCAAGGAGCAAAAGCUGACAAGGGUGACAAAGGUGAAGCUGGACCUCCAGGACCAGCAGGCCCUCAGGGACCAGAAGGACAAAAAGGCGAGGGAGAUGCUGGACCAAAGGGAGAACGUGGAUAUAAAGGCGAACCUGGGCCACCGGGGCCUCCGGGAUGGGGACACAUGGGUCCCAAGGGUAUUAUGGGACGUAAAGGCUUGCCUGGUCUACCUGGCCCCCCUGGCAUCAGCAUACAAGGAGACAAGGGAGAAAAAGGAAGUAAAGGUCUUCCUGGACCAAAGGGAUCAGUAGGAAAUGGCCUUCCUGGACAAAAGGGAGACUAUGGAGAUAAAGGUGAUACAGGGAGCAAAGGUGCCAAAGGAGAGAUUGGAGACCCAGGACCUCCAGGGCCAAAGGGAUCUGGGGGAAGAAAAGGUGAACCUGGUCUUUCGAGAGAAGAUGUUAUCAGACUUAUCAAUGAAAUAUGUGGUUGUGGUAUCAAAUGUAGAACAACGCCACUGGAACUAGUAUUCGUUAUUGACAGCUCAGAAAGUGUUGGACCAGAUAACUUCAAUAUUAUCAAAACCUUUGUGAAAACAUUCAUUGACAAGAUUUCGGCCAACCAAGCUACCAGCCGCAUUGGCAUUAUCAACUUCAGCCACAGAGUGGACCUGGUGUCUUCUCUGAAGCAAUACACAAACAAAGAGCACCUGAAAUCAGCAGUUGACAAGAUGCCCUACUUAGGAGAAGGCACGUACACAGCUUCUGCUAUCCAAGAAGCCAUCCGCUUAUUCCAGGCAGCGCGCCCGGCGGUAAGGAAGGUGGCUGUUGUAAUAACGGAUGGACAGGCGGACAGUCGGGAUAAAGUACGGCUGGACACUAUAGUGAGAGAGGCCCAUGCUACAAAUAUUGAGGUAUUUGUCAUUGGGAUUGUACAAAGGACUGAUCCUCAUUAUGAUAACUUCCUGAAAGAAAUGCAGCUCAUUGCAACAGACCCUGAUGAGGAGCAUGUUUACCAGAUAGACGACUUCGUAACACUUUCAGUUCUUGAAAAUAAACUGAUCACUAAAAUUUGUGAGAACGAGUCUGCAGUGUACACCAGAGAAUACAAUAUUUUAUCUCCUUCUCCAAGUCCGGAAUCUGAAAUUGCCAGAAAGGAUGCUAAUAGCCUGCUACCUGAAAUGACUACUUCAGAGACCAAUAUACUUCCUACAGAAGGAACUAGCAACCCAGUGAGUAAACAACAUAGUCCAACGCAAUCCACAUACACUGCACCUCUGCCAUCUGCUCAGGACCGCAAUGUGACUGUCUCUGCUCACAGAGAAUCAAUACUUCCCCCAGUUUACAACAUAUCUGAAAUCAGACCCCCGAGUCCAGUUGUCAAUCCUUUCGUUGGUGGAACUGCUACUGAACGUCACCAGCCAGCUGCGUGGCAAACAGAGAUAGCAAGAAGCCCUAAAAGACUAUGAAGAGAUGCUUAGAGUAGUGCUCCUCAGAAUGAUAAGCAGAACUUUCACAACACCACUGUUGCUCUGGAAGGAAAGGGAGAACAUGAAGACUCAAAGGGUGAGAUGGGCAUGAUCCAGCACUGCUGAUGGUCAGGCAGGGGCUCUGUGGGCUGCAGAAGGAGCUGAAUGCAAAGCAGCAGAAGGGACCAACAAGACAAGACAUGGAGGAUCUGAAGUUUUAAAGCAAGAAGAUAGAGCUGAUGCAUGAGACUUCUCCCACUGGGAACAGUACCAAUUUGUGCACAUUCAGAUCUACAUUUGUUCUUUGACAGAGGAGGAAGAGUCAAAACCUUGACUCCCUGAGACCAGACAGGAUCCAGCUCUGUUGGGAAAUACUGAAAGCACAGGGUGGAACAGGGAAGCAGCAGCAUGAAAAGGUGAUGUGGUUCUUUAGGUGACUGAAGCUAUUGACAGAGCUCCUUUCCUUGCAGUUACUUAGAAUUUUAUCCUAGGAGGGGAAUGAGAAGGUGCCAAGGAGUUGCUGGAAGCCAGGUUAGAAAUUCAAAGAAGCAAAGCAGCCUUUUUGAUUUCAAAAUGCCAAAGUGGUGGGUUCACAGACAUCACAGGUUGGUGUUGUACAACUGAAGAACAGUAUUGCAAACUUACACACCUACUCAAUAAAGCAGAGUUUACAUGAAAUAAAUAAGCUGCUUACAUCAACUUUUGAUGUAACAAACACUCCCAUGAAAUUCCCAUCUCUAUUCAGAUAUGAAUUUUAAACUCUCUUGCCAUGUACUCAUCUUUCAAAGAAUGUUCACCUCUGUGUAAAAGUGAAAAAAUAAGAUAGUGACUUCAGCAAUGCUCAGAAGACAGUUGGAAAACUCGUGUUCCUUUCCAGGCAACAUUGCUACAAAUAAUUCCCCCUUCCCAAGGAAAAUAUUUUUCAUGCUUCUUUAGCACAACUAAUCUUAGCUGGAUUUAGCUGGAAUCUCCAGCCCAUGUGCCUGCAAACUGAGAAAUAUUUUAAGCACUAAGUGAUAAAACCCGGUUCCAACACUUGCUUUGAAGUGAUUUGCUUUAGGCUGACUUUAAAACCUGCUGUAGGUCACUAAGUUUACUGCAGACAGGUCUGUCUGUGGGAUCAUACCUGGCCUUCAGCUCCCAUUGGUACCAUGUACUCCUCAAACAGCACUUUGCAGAUCAGGUGGUGCAACCAUUGACAGAAAAAGGAAACCAAAAAGGAGAAAAGAUGGGAAUGUUUAAAAGACAAAUCACACCUCAAAGAAGAGAACACCUAAGCUAUGGCAAAAGAAUUGACACUUUCUUAUCCCCACAGGUGUGUAACACAGAACUGGAUGAUGCUUUGGUCAGUACAGUGCAGACUCCAGAACUUGAGGCUUCAGCCUCCCUAAAUAAAAGAAAGCUUACAGAAGAGCAUUUUUGGGGAGGAAGGAAAAAAGGGACUGUACUAGUCCUGUAGUAUCGCAAGAAAGGAGGAACAUUAUAACAACAGAACAGGGGGCUGGAAAUGUCUGAAAAUAAGAGUUAAAAGGAGAGCGUGUAGGGCACAGCUCAAAACCACAUUGGGUCCAAAUUCCAGUGUUAACAAACAAAAAUAAACACAGAAUUAGCCUCCCUCCAACGUUCUUUUUCCUAAUAAGUGAGAAAAACAUCUUUACAGUUUACUUUUAUUGGCAUUUUAAGAAGUCUUGAAAGACUAUAUAUUAGAAAGCUGAAAAAAAUGAAGACCUCAGGCUACAUUUCUGAAUUAAAUAACAACUUUCCCUUCAAAAAUGCCAACUAUCACCCUAACCUAGAAGUGAGAUCCCACAAUCCAUCUGUUUUCCCAAGUCUGUCUUAAAUUUCUAUACUUGUGUAAAAAUGAAAAUGUUCACUGCAGAGCUCUGAUUGUCUCACUUACUCCUCAUGUAAGUCAGAAAAAGCUCCUCACCAUGAAAUUUCAGGAACCCAUGGAUGGGCUUCAUUAAGGUGAAACAUUGUCAGAAAGGAAGAAAUGCUGCUAAACAUUCAGGAGCAAGCACUGGAAUGAGCGAUUCAGAGGCUUAUCUUCCCUGCAGCUUAGAAUAAACUUAGCAGUUCCUGGGUGUAAAAUGUUUACUUACUUUUUAGUUGGCACUAGUGCACAGGGAAGAGCUCUAGGAAAAUUCCCUUGGGCAAGGGAAGCUUUCUGUGAGCUGGCUACAAGAGCUUACCGUCAUUUAUGGACAUUUCACUGUGCCUACAACUUCUGGUAAUCAAAUGGGUGAGUCUGUUAUAUAUUAAUGUUAAAAAAAAUCCAAAAAGCAAGCAAAGCAAACCCACACUUAUGAAACAGUUUUUCUCCAAUGUAGCAGCUGUAGCUUUUGCUUUGCUCCAGCACUGGCAUUGCCCUGCAAUGUGCUGGAUGUAGUCUGAUCCUGACAAUUUGUAAGUUACAGCAGCACCACCACAUAAAAGCAUAACCUUCGCCUGAAAUUUGACAGCUUUUAUGGUCUGUUCAAUUGGCUCUUGUUCCCUCAAAUAUCCCAGCUUUUGAGCUCAGUUAAACUGGCUGUCACCCGUUUCCUGCACUUUGAAAUGAAACAGUUAAUUAAUCCAGGUUAAUAGUAUUAGCAGGGUCUAUUACAGUACUUAAGGUAAUGACACACAGCUGUACUGUGCUUCUGCCAACACCUCAUCCAACAACCAGAGUUCCAGAUGUAAAGACAACUCCCAGCUGUCCAAGUGCCAGCACUUCGACUGCUGAAUGCUGUUCUGCACAAACAUUUAUGUUAGAAAGCACAACUUUUAAAUUUUAACAGGUCUUUUUUAUUCAGAAAUAAGAGGUUCACUGAAAGAAUAAAUCCUUUUUUUUUUAAACAAGGUGGUUAAUUUUGGACAGUUUUGCUUUAUUUCUGAGGUAUCAGUUGUAGUCAGUUCACUCAGGAAUCUGUAAGAAUACGGAGACACUGAAGAAUCCGGACAAUGCAGAAACAGCUGCCUGCUUAUGUGAAUCUGGUACUAGCACUUAAUCAUUUUAUCUUUGUUUUCUGGGUAGCUUGCUAUUUUGUUGAGAGCAUAAAUAUAGAAUCAUAGAAUCAUAACAAGUGAGAAAAGCUUUUUUAAUUUCCUGUACCCACCCUAGAGAAAAAGAACAUUUUUAUUAGACUAAACUGUGCUGCUAUGCAACACCACUAGCAUGCAGAAGGUGUAAAUGAAGACAGACAUGAACUGCAUGAGAUAACUUAUUUUAUUUAUUCAAUUCUCAACUUAAUUUUGAUGCUAAAAAUUGGUCAAAGGCACUUCAAAGAAGGUAUUUAAGAAACAAAUCCUUACAGUGACCAUUCCAGACAAAUCACCAACUUUUAUCUGCCAUUAGGAACACAACUACCUAUAAUUGCAAAGUGAAACAUUCACAGGUUUUGAGUGGAGCAUACUGUCCAGCAGCAAUAUUUAAUUCUUUUAGACUAUUAAUAACAUUUGUGGAGUAUUUUAAAUACAAUAUGGUAAAACAAAGCAAAUUACACUUUUUGGAGUUCCACAGACGAUUUCUUGACAGAAAAAGAACAAAAACUUCCUUUCCCAGUGGUUCUUAUUGAGGGGUCUAUUUUUAUCUGUGCGUGCACUAUCAGCAUCAGUAACAGGUACAGCAGAGAAAUAACCCACACUUUUCUGUCAUACAAAGACAAAACACCCUGCUCAGAUAACAAAGCAUUUAUAAGAGGUCUAUCAGCUACUCAAAUACUGACAUUUAUACUUCUGCAAGUGUGACAGAUCAAAUGGUAACAGCUGAAGAAAAAGCGAUUUUUAAUAUACACCCCACAAAAGCAAAGCAAAGAAAGUGUCCUUAAAGGCAAAAGUACUGUGAAAAGAACUUCCACAAAAUGCGAUGGUAUAAACAUCACCAGCAUGUAACCUCUUAAAUAACACAGACUGCAAAAAUUAAUUGGGAGUGAAAGAAGAAAUUGGUCUUUUUCUGCAAACAAAGAUUAAUACUCUCCUCUGUAAACAAACACUAAUACUCUCCUCUGAUUAAGACCAGUGAUCAAAAAAUAACUUCUUGCCAUUGUCAAUCUUUCUGAAGUGAAACCACAUUUAACCACAAGGUUAAAAUGUUACUCUGUCACGCAUGGGGACACUUCCACAUCCACUGCCUAGUAAUUUCAAGAAAAUAGUUCAAAAUUUUUAGAUGGGUAAUUUAAAUCACUAUGGUGCCAAUGAAAGCUUUUAGGUUUUAUAAAAUUAAGAAACCUCUUUUAGAAACCAAACCACAGAGAAAUAAUCUGCAUGGCUAAGUAAGCCCAUGUUGCUGUGCCUCAGGAAGUCUUUCCAUCUGAAAUACAGUCU